rnacentral:lncRNA from 1 species
AACUUUUUUUAACAUAUUACCAAAACAUAACUAGGACGAUGUGUAUGUGAUCAGCAAUUGUAAAAAUGUCCUCCAUGCAUGUAAUUGACACUGUUUGUAUUCAGAAGAAUCUCUAAUUAUCCGCUUGUUCGUUCUGCAGGUGAUCUCACCUCUUUCCAUCCUAUUCCGAAUGGCCAACCUCCACCGUAUGAACAAAUACACACACAACACUCACAGCUCCAUCCAGCAGCCAAUGACAGGACAGCAUUCGUUUGCAAGGACCAAUCAGGCAUCAGCACACAGCAGGUGAAUCACCGGCCAGACAGUCUGGAGUUUACCGUGGAGCUGAACGGAUACGCAGAAUUUGGCCCUUUUCCGCCGAGCUGCACGUCUAGAGGGACUUCCACUGCAAAGGAUUGUGGGAACAUCAGUUGUACAGGAAUUUCCUCUCAACUGGAGUCUUCAGAUGCGUUUGAUGAUCUAAAUGACUCCGACUCCUUCCCGCCUCCUCCGCCCCCCGUUUUCUUCCAUCCGUCUGAUUCGCCGAGCCCUUCGGAUUCCCCGGCCGCUGUCACUGAAGCCGAGGACGCCCCUGCAGCACCGGUCCGCAGCAGCACCGCCAGGGUCAGCUUCAGAGAGCCAAUCAGCUGCAGCUAUUCAGUGGAAGAGGAAGAGUGGGAGGAAGAGGAANNNNNNNNNNGGGUGGAGACGCAGAGAAGAGAGGGAGAGGAUGACGAGCAGGAGGAAGAUGGAGAGGAAGUCGAAGGAAGUUUGGGACACAGGUUGCGCUUCUGCACUGAAGUACCAUCUCAAAUGGACCUGCUGGGUAAGAUCAUAAUGCCCGCUAAAACAAUGCGCUAUUAUUAUUAUAGGCUAUUUAACAGCAGCAUUCGAGCAUUAAAAUAGUAAUGAAAUAGACAACAAUGGCAAAAAUGGAAAAGGGUCAAUCAUUAUGAUUUUUGGUAACACUUCAGGGAACACAUUCACUAUUAACUAAGAGUAUUCCCUUAAUUAAUUCCUAACUGCUGCUAAUUGGUAGUAAGUAAGGUGGUUGUUGCAGUAGUUAAGUUUAGGUAUUGGGUCAGGUUAAGGGAUGUAGAAUAUGGC